rnacentral:tRNA from 1 species
ACUUAGCUCAGAGGUUAGAGCAUCGCAUUUGUAAUGCGAGGGUCAUCGGUUCAAAUCC